UACGUAGGGGGCUAGCGUUGUCCGGAAUCAUUGGGCGUAAAGCGCGUGUAGGCGGUCCGGUAAGUCCGCUGUGAAAGUCGGGGGCUCAACCCUCGGAUGCCGGUGGAUACUGUCGGGCUUGAGUACGGAAGAGGCGAGUGGAAUUCCUGGUGUAGCGGUGAAAUGCGCAGAGUAUCAGGAGGAACACCAAUUGCGAAGGCAGCUCGCUGGGACGUACUGACGCUGAGACGCGAAAGCGUGGGGAGCAAACAGG
rnacentral:rRNA from 1 species